rnacentral:misc_RNA from 1 species
GAUGAAGAACGCAGCGAAAUGCGAUACGUAAUGUGAAUUGCAGAAUUCAGUGAAUCAUCGAGUCUUUGAACGCACAUUGCGCCCCCUGGUAUUCCGGGGGGCAUGCCUGUCCGAGCGUCAUUGCUGCCCUCAAGCACGGCUUGUGUGUUGGGCCUCCGUCCUCCUCCCGGGGGACGGGCCCGAAAGGCAGCGGCGGCACCGCGUCCGGUCCUCGAGCGUAUGGGGCUUCGUCACCCGCUCUUGUAGGCCCGGCCGGCGCUUGCCGACACAUCAAUCUUUUUUCCAGGUUGACCUCGGAUCAGGUAGGGAUACCCGCUGAACUUAAGCAUAGCAAUAAGCGGAGGA